GACGAACGCUGGCGGCGUGCUUAACACAUGCAAGUCGAACGGUAAGGCCCUUCGGGGUACACGAGUGGCGAACGGGUGGAGUAACACGUGGGUGAUCUGCCCUGCACUUCGGGAUAAGCUUGGGAAACUGGGUCUAAUACCGGAUAGGACCACGGUCUGCAUGGAUUGUGGUGGAAAGCUUUUGCGGUGUGGGAUGGGCCCGCGGCCUAUCAGCUUGUUGGUGGGGUGAUGGCCUACCAAGGCGACGACGGGUAGCCGGCCUGAGAGGGUGUCCGGCCACACUGGGACUGAGAUACGGCCCAGACUCCUACGGGAGGCAGCAGUGGGGAAUAUUGCACAAUGGGCGCAAGCCUGAUGCAGCGACGCCGCGUGGGGGAUGACGGCCUCGGUU
rnacentral:rRNA from 1 species